GACGAACGCUGGCGGCGUGCUUAACACAUGCAAGUCGAACGAUGAAGCCGGAGCUUGCUCUGGUGAAUUAGUGGCGAACGGGUGAGUAACACGUGAGUAACCUGCCCUUGACUCUGGGAUAACUGCGGGAAACUGUAGCUAAUACCGGAUACGACCCUCGGAGGCAUCUCCUGGGGGUGGAAAGAAUUUCGGUCAAGGAUGGACUCGCGGCCUAUCAGCUAGUUGGUGAGGUAAAGGCUCACCAAGGCGACGACGGGUAGCCGGCCUGAGAGGGUGACCGGCCACGCUGGGACUGAGACACGGCCCAGACUCCUACGGGAGGCAGCAGUGGGGAAUAUUGCACAAUGGGCGCAAGACUGAUGCAGCAACGCCGCGUGAGGGAUGACGGCCUUCGGGUUGUAAACCUCUUUUAGCAGGGAAGAAGCGAAAGUGACGGUACCUGCAGAAAAAGCACCGGCUAACCACGUGCCAGCCGCCGCCGUAA
rnacentral:rRNA from 1 species